GAGAGGGGCGGAUGAAAGCCAGAGGAGGAGAGGAGGGGGGGCAAGCAAAGUUUGUGAUGAAGAGUAGUGACGAAGGUUUCAUGAGGAGUUCAUCAUUAUUUCAUCCAUCCACACGUUGCCAUUAGUGCUCCAUAUACUAAUCAUAUGGGGACACGUAGAACUACGACAGCCAGAAGCAAGAGGAUGGACCCUGCAGGGCAGCGGAGGAACGUUUGACGGCUGCUCGCUCACACCUGGAAGGGAAAGUGGAGCCGGAGAGACAAAAGAAGAAUGAAAACAGACACAUUCAGACUUUAAUUCCUCACAGAAAAGCUCCGGGAGGCAGAUUAGGAACCCGUGUGUGGGGCGUAUCAUCCUAGAACGCUUUUCAUAUCUUAACAUAUUACACAAUCUAUAAAAAAGAGUCGGACCGAUUAAAUGAUCAAACUUU